rnacentral:rRNA from 1 species
GAUGAACGCUGGCGGCGUGCCUAAUACAUGCAAGUCGAACGCACAGCGAAAGGUGCUUGCACCUUUCAAGUGAGUGGCGAACGGGUGAGUAACACGUGGACAACCUGCCGUCAAGGCUGGGGAUAACAUUUGGAAACAGAUGCUAAUACCGAAGUAAAACUCAGUGUCGCAUGACACAAAGUUAAAAGGCGCUUUGGCGUCACCUAGAGAUGGAUCCGCGGUG